rnacentral:rRNA from 1 species
GACGAACGCUGGCGGCGUGCUUAACACAUGCAAGUCGAACGAUGAAGCCGGAGCUUGCUCUGGUGAAUUAGUGGCGAACGGGUGAGUAACACGUGAGUAACCUGCCCUUGACUCUGGGAUAACUGCUAGAAAUGGUAGCUAAUACCGGAUACGACCCUCGGCGGCAUCGCCAGGGGGUGGAAAGAAUUUCGGUCAAGGAUGGACUCGCGGCCUAUCAGCUAGUUGGUGAGGUAACGGCUCACCAAGGCGACGACGGGUAGCCGGCCUGAGAGGGUGACCGGCCACACUGGGACCGAGACACGGCCCAGACUCCUACGGGAGGCAGCUGUGGGGAAUAUUGCACAAUGGGCGCAAGCCUGAUGCAGCAACGCCGCGUGAGGGAUGACGGCCUUCGGGUUGUAAACCUCUUUUAGUAGGGAAGAAGCGAAAGUGACGGUACCUGCAGAAAAAGCACCGGCUAACUACGUGCCAGCCGCCGCGGUAA